AUUGAACGCUGGCGGCAUGCCUUACACAUGCAAGUCGAACGGUAACGCGGGGCAACCUGGCGACGAGUGGCGAACGGGUGAGUAAUAUAUCGGAACGUGCCCAGUUGUGGGGGAUAACUGCUCGAAAGAGCAGCUAAUACCGCAUACGACCUGAGGGUGAAAGCGGGGGAUCGCAAGACCUCGCGCAAUUGGAGCGGCCGAUAUCAGAUUAGGUAGUUGGUGGGGUAAAGGCCUACCAAGCCGACGAUCUGUAGCUGGUCUGAGAGGACGACCAGCCACACUGGGACUGAGACACGGCCCAGACUCCUACGGGAGGCAGCAGUGGGGAAUUGUGGACAAUGGGGGCAACCCUGAUCCAGCCAUGCCGCGUGCGGGAAGAAGGCCUUCGGGUUGUAAACCGCUUUUGUCAGGGAAGAAAAGACUCCUACUAAUACUGGGGGUUCAUGACGGUACCUGAAGAAUAAGCACCGGCUAACUACGUGCCAGCCGCCGCAGUAA
rnacentral:rRNA from 1 species